CCUACGGGGGGCAGCAGUGGGGAAUAUUGCACAAUGGGGGAAACCCUGAUGUAGCAACGCCGCGUGAGUGAGGAAGUAUUUCGGUAUGUAAAGCUCUAUCAGCAGGGAAUAGAAAAGAAGGUACCUGAAAAAGAAGCCCCGGCUAACUACGUGCCAGCAGCCGCGGUAAUACGUAGGGGGCAAGCGUUAUCCGGAUUUACUGGGUGUAAAGGGAGCGUAGACGGAAAGGCAAGCCAGGAGUGAAAGCCCGGGGCCCAACCCCGGGACUGCUCUUGGAACUGCGUGGCUAGAGUGCAGGAGGGGCG
rnacentral:rRNA from 1 species